CCCAGCAGAUGAAAGGUUAGAGGAAAACACACGUCAGCAGAAUCUAGCCUUCGGUCUCAGCAUGGGAGAGAGGAGAGGAGCCGCGCUGCAAACCUCCCUGAUCCUGUGGCUCCGCUUUGUGCAUACCGCAGAUCACACACUUAUUUGAAGCCUCUCCUAAGGCCUGGCAGACAUACUCCACACUGGGGGAAUGCAGGCACAUAUUUGUUGAGCAGCUGCGGACUUUUGGCAGAGACACAUGCCCUUCCAAGAACAGGCACCUGUGAAAGCCGAGGCCAUCCUGCGGGAGAGCAUCCAUCUUCUUGAACUUGUAAGCACAUUUCUGCACUGCUUUGCUCUUGUUAACGCACUCCUGAACCGAAUGCUUCUGGGGUAACGCCUCCCACACCACCCAGAUGAUCGGGAGCCUGAGUGACUUUUCAGCAGUGACUUGGGUCCUGAGGACAUCACUGGUCUGCUCGAGAGCAGCAUCAACCAUGAGCGCUUUAAUCAUCUUCAGGGAUCUGAUGUGGAAAGCGUUAACUCUGCGUUCACUGGCCUAGAGGUGGUCUCGGGCUCUGGCUCUUCUGGGAGGCAAGCAGGCGCUCGCUGGGGGGGGGCCCCCGCCCCCGCCGGCAGCCAGAGCUGUUUCACGGUGAGUCUGGAGUUUGGCAAUCCAGCAGUAUAAUGCAGGUCUAUGGAGAGCACUGGCCUGUCGCGCCACAAUCUACGGUGUUUGGGAAGGGGCCCUGACUCUGCAGAUUCACUGGGGUUCGUUGGCUAAGGGGAGAGGAAGGCACAGCGAGAUCAGGGAAUUUUCCCACGCCAGGAGCCUGUGAAUUCCAAGUAACCCUUCUUCCAGGCCAGAGCUGUAUGCCCCCAAGCCUCAUCUGUGCCUUAAUUUCAUCUCUCCUCCUAUUUGUCCAACAGCUCAGCUUGAUAGUCUUUAUUUUAUGCUUGUUUAAGUUAAUUUUAUAAUCAGUGGACAGAAGAGGCAUUUUGGCUUGAUGGUCAUUUACAGCUGGGUACGAUUAGGGCAGCUGUAAAUCGUGUCUAGUUAAUG
rnacentral:lncRNA from 1 species